rnacentral:lncRNA from 1 species
AGGGAGCCAUCUCCAUGGCGGCUAGCAGAGGAGCCACUGGGAGGCCCACAGGGUGCGCACAGAGCCGCGGUUCUUGGUCCCUGGAACAUAAGAUGCUGAGGGUCCCAAAGAUCAAACCUUCUGCCAGUUCCCAGAUCAUCAAACCCUAACCAGCCUUGUCCCUGUGACCCGCCACCAGCUAUAAAGCUGGGAACCGAACCCAGGGCCUUGCGCUUCCUAGGCAAGCGCUCUACCACUGAGCUAAAUCCCCAACCCCGAUCCUUUCCUCUUGAAUGGCCGAGUGCCCAGGAAUGACUGCAUCUGGGAACUGGGAAGGAGAAGAAACAAUGGCACCCGGAGAAAAAGGAUUCCUACCAGGUUACAGCGCACGGGAGGGAGGCUGUUUUUAUCUUUCCGAACCUUAGGAAGCCUGUGCCAAAAAAUAAAUGUGGAUUGAGAAUAACCCC